UACGUAGGGUCCGAGCGUUGUCCGGAAUUAUUGGGCGUAAAGAGCACGUAGGCGGUUUGUCGCGUCUGCUGUGAAAUCCCGAGGCUCAACCUCGGGCCUGCAGUGGGUACGGGCAGACUGGAGUGCGGUAGGGGAGUGUGGAAUUCCCGGUGUAGCGGUGAAAUGCGCAGAGAUCGGGAGGAACACCCGUAGCGAAGGCGGCACUCUGGGCCGGUACUGACGCUGAGGAGCGAAAGCGUGGGGAGCAAACAGG
rnacentral:rRNA from 1 species